CUGGAGUUCAGACCUGUGUUGUUUUGUUGUCGGAUUCCGACGGAUAAAUAUUUCUGCUAUUAAUUACCGGGAUUGUUCAUUCGGUAUGUCUGUGCGGUGAUGGGGCUGUUAACACUACUAAAAAAAACGAAACAGAAAGAAAAAGAGAUGCGAAUUCUUAUGCUGUAUCCUUUAAUGUAUUUAUGUUUUAUUACGAUUAUAUCUAUGUCUAACUGUAUAUAUAUAUAUGUAUAUUUCCGUGUUAUAAAUUUCGAUUU